AACGCACAUUGCGCCCGCCAGUAUUCUGGCGGGCAUGCCUGUCUGAGCGUCAUUUCAACCCUCGCGAGACCCCUCGCGGUGUUGGGGGCCGGCCCCCUGGCCCUCCCCUGCGGAGGCCGGGCCGCCCCCUAAAUGCAGUGGCGGACUCGCUGCCGCCUCCCACGCGCAGUAGCACUGUUUCGCGUUGCGGAGGGCGGCGGGACCCCGCCGGUGAAGCCCACCGAACCCCACCACCAAGGUUGACCUCAGAUCAGGUAGGAAUACCCGCUGAACUUAA
rnacentral:misc_RNA from 1 species